GACGAACGCUGGCGGCGUGCUUAACACAUGCAAGUCGAACGGAAAGGCCCUGCUUUUGUGGGCUGCUCGAGUGGCGAACGGGUGAGUAACACGUGAGUAACCUGCCCUUGCCUUUGGGAUAACUUCAGGAAACUGGGGCUAAUACCGGCUAGGAGCUCCUGCUGCAUGGUGGGGGUUGGAAAGUUUCGGCGGUUGGGGAUGAACUCGCGGCUUAUCAGCUUGUUGGUGGGGUAGUGGCUUACCAAGGCUUUGACGGGUAGCAGGCCUGAGAGGAGGACCGGCCACAUUGGGACGGAGAUACGGCCCAGACUCCUACGGGACGCAGCAGUGGGGAAGAGUGCACUAUGGGCGGGAGCCUGAUGCAGCAACGCCGCGUGCGGGGUGACGGCCUUCGGGUUGUAAACCACUUUCGCCUGUGACGAAGCGUGAGUGACGGUAAUGGGUAAAGAAGCACCGGCUAACUACGUG
rnacentral:rRNA from 1 species